UGGAAAUCAAGAAUUAGCACUGAUCUAGCUGAGAGAGGGAGGAACAACAUCGACCGGUUUGGAGAUAUGAUGAGAUCAGUAGCAUAUUGCAAUAUUGACUGUUUGAAGCAGACACUAUCUAAGGAAGACUAAUCCAAUUGGUGUCUUUAAAUUGUUAUUCCUGUUAGUGUCUGGAAAAGCAAUAUUUGCCUUUUCUUUCCCUUUGUUUGAAUUUCUGUUAAUUCUUGGAACAACGAUUAAGUUGUCUCUGUGUGAACUAUAGGUCACGGGUUCGAGCUAUGGAAACAACCAUUAAUGUUUGCUUUAGGGUAGACUGUCUACAUCACACCCUUUGAGGUACAGUUCUUCAUUGACAUAAAUACGGGAUGCUUGGUGCAUUUUCUUUUC